GGAGAGGUGUCCGAGUUGGCCUAAGGAGCACGAUUGGAAAUCGUGUGUCGGCUAAUCACCGACCGUGAGUUCGAAUCUCACCCUCUCCGCCA
rnacentral:tRNA from 1 species